ACUACAUCUGCUUCUCAUUCUCUCAUGAAAUGAGUUCCUUGUCAUAAACUCCCCACAGUCUCCCUUUGAUCACAACUCUGACAGUUCAAACCCUGCAUGCUAUUCCAGGUUCCACUUAUGGGUAGGAGGCCUUCCCCAGCAGAUGUGAAGGCAAACAUAUUCUUUCUCCCCAUGCUGUGGUAUCCUGGAGACUGGUGAGCUGGAGCUAGGAUGCCAUGACAUCAGCUCCUGGACCUGAGCUGGCACAGAGCCUGCCCAGGCAGUGUUUGCCGAGAGGAUGAAUAAAAGAGGGUCACCUUCCUUUUGACUCCUUGGGGUGAGUCUUCAACCUUCUUUGGAAGAAGAUUUGGAAGUGAGGAAGAGAAAGCUAUGGGUCAGCUCAGACUCUGGAUGUCGACCACCUCUGCUCCCUCCCAGUUCCCCUGCCCGAGGCCCUGCAGUCCUGAGGGGGGCUGAACACGAGCAGACCAGGAGCUGGAGGAUGGAAUGUGUCCCCUUCUAGCAAUGCCUUUUGGAAAAUGCAGAGUGGAACACGAGCCAAAGCAGUUGUGUGUGAGGAAAGCAAUUGAGAGGCUCACAGAAUCCCCAGGAAGAAGAACACUCGGACCUUCUAAAGGCACAGGGACAAAAGGAAGAACCACAAGCAAAAUCACUCCCCAGAACUACUGCUGAUGCCCUGCUGGCUCCUGGGUGUCACCCAGUGGCACUGCGGCCGUACAGCUGCCGGACCCAGGUCGCUGCCCAGACCAGAAUCAGGGAGACCUGAUUCAUAGACCUGGCAGACCGCUGCUGGGAGACUUAGGGGUGACAUGAGUCCUCAAAGGACCCACCAGCUGGCUAGGUGGGGUCA